GACGAACGCUGGCGGCGUGCCUAAUACAUGCAAGUAGAACGCUGAAGAGAGGAGCUUGCUCUUCUUGGAUGAGUUGCGAACGGGUGAGUAACGCGUAGGUAACCUGCCUUGUAGCGGGGGAUAACUAUUGGAAACGAUAGCUAAUACCGUAUAACAAUGGACGACACAUGUCAUUUAUUUGAAAGGGGCAAUUGCUCUACUACAAGAUGGAACUGCGUUGGAAUAGCUAGUAGGUGAGGUAAUGGCUCACCUAGGCGACGUUACAUAGCCGACCUGAGAGGGGGAUCGGCAACACUGGGACUUAGACACGGCUCAGACUCCUACGGGAAGCAGCCGGAGGGAAUCGUCGGCAAAUGGGGCAACCCUUAGCGAUCAACGCCGCGUGAGUGGAGAAAGUUUUCGGAUCGUAAAGAUCUUUUGUAGGUGGAGAACGGGUGGGAGAAGGGAAAGUGCACACUGUGACGGUAGCUUACCAGAAAGGGACGGCUAACUACGUG
rnacentral:rRNA from 1 species